rnacentral:rRNA from 1 species
UGGGGAAUCUUGGACAAUGGGGGCAACCCUGAUCCAGCGAUGCCGCGUGAGUGAAGAAGGCCUUCGGGUCGUAAAGCUCUUUAGGUUGGGACGAAGGUUAUUUGGGGAUAAUCCAAGUAAUUUGACGGUACUAACAGAAUAAGCACCGGCAAACUCUGUGCCAGCAGCCGCGGUAAUACAGAGGGUGCAAGCGUUAAUCGGAGUUACUGGGCGUAAAGGGCGCGUAGGCGGUGAAUUGGGUGUGGUGUGAAAGCCCCGGGCUUAACCUGGGAAGUGCAUCGCAAACUAAUUGACUGGAGUAGAUGAGAGGGUGGCGGAAUUUCCGGUGUAGCGGUGAAAUGCGUAGAGAUCGGAAGGAACGUCAAUGGCGAAGGCAGCCACCUGGCAUCAUACUGACGCUGAGGCGCGAGAGCGUGGGGAGCGAACA